AUUGAACGCUGGCGGCAGGCCUAACACAUGCAAGUCGAACGGUAACAGGAAGAAGCUUGCUUCUUUGCUGACGAGUGGCGGACGGGUGAGUAAUGUCUGGGAAACUGCCUGAUGGAGGGGGAUAACUACUGGAAACGGUAGCUAAUACCGCAUAACGUCGCAAGACCAAAGAGGGGGACCUUCGGGCCUCUUGCCAUCGGAUGUGCCCAGAUGGGAUUAGCUAGUAGGUGGGGUAACGGCUCACCUAGGCGACGACCCCUAGCUGGUCUGAGAGGAUGACCAGCCACACUGGAACUGAGACACGGUCCAGACCCCUACGGGAGGCAGCAGUGGGGAAUAUUGCACAAUGGGCGCAAGCCUGAUGCAGCCAUGCCGCGUGUAUGAAGAAGGCCUUCGGGUUGUAAAGUACUUUCAGCGGGGAGGAAGGGAGUAAAGUUAAUACCUUUGCUCAUUGACGUUACCCGCAGAAGAAGCACCGGCUAACUCCGUG
rnacentral:rRNA from 1 species